GCCUCGGUAGCUCAGCCGGCAGAGCGCGUGCCUUUUAAGCCCGUGGCCGCGGGUUCGAGCCCCGCCCGAGGUG
rfam:Perkinsus marinus ATCC 50983 gcontig_1104296682642, whole genome shotgun sequence.